GGACUACAGGGGUAUCUAAUCCUGUUUGCUCCCCACGCUCUCGCGCCUCAGUGUCAGUGUUAGUCCAGGUAGCCGCCUUCGCCACUGGUGUUCCUUCCGAUAUCUACGCAUUUCACCGCUACACCGGAAAUUCCACUACCCUCUACCACACUCUAGUCAAUCAGUAUCAAAUGCAGUUCCUAGGUUAAGCCCAGGGAUUUCACAUCUAACUUAAUUAACCACCUACGCGCCCUUUACGCCCAGUAAUUCCGAUUAACGCUCGCACCCUCUGUAUUACCGCGGCUGCUGGCAC
rnacentral:rRNA from 1 species